UACGUAGGGUGCAAGCGUUAAUCGGAAUUACUGGGCGUAAAGCGUGCGCAGGCGGUUGUGCAAGACCGAUGUGAAAUCCCCGGGCUCAACCUGGGAAUGGCAUUGGUGACUGCACGGCUAGAGUGUGUCAGAGGGGGGUAGAAUUCCACGUGUAGCAGUGAAAUGCGUAGAUAUCGAGAGGAACACCUGCGGCGAAGGCGGGUUGCUGGGCUGAUACUGACGCUGAGGCGCGAAAGCCAGGGGAGCGAACGGG
rnacentral:rRNA from 1 species